rnacentral:rRNA from 1 species
GACUGCCCGGGUUAACCGGGAGGAAGGUGGGGAUGACGUCAAGUCAUCAUGGCCCUUACGCCUAGGGCUACACACGUACUACAAUGGUGGGUACAAAGGGCAGCGAAACCGCGAGGUCGAGCGAAUCUCAAAAAACCCAAUCAUAGUCCGGAUUGCAGUCUGCAACUCGACUGCAUGAAGUUGGAAUCGCUAGUAAUCCCGGAUCAGCAUGCCGGGGUGAAUACGUUCCCGGGCCUU